UAUUUAAUUUAUUUAUAAUGUUAACAAUAAGUGAUAAUAGUUGCCGUGAUUGGUGGUCAAGUGGUAGUGAUGAUAGCGACAGCAGUGGGUAGUUGAUGGUAGUGGCGGUAAGGUGGGUAGUGUUGGAACGGUGGUAGAGGUGACAAUAGCUAAGCGAUGAUAGCUGUGGUGGACAGUGAGAGCAAUUGGUGGUGAUAGCUAUUGGUGGUAAUAGGAUAAGAUGAUGGUGAUGGCCAUGGUAGCGGUGGUUGUGGUGGUGGUAGUGGUGAGUAGAAGCAGUGGUGGUAGCAUGAUUAGUGGUGGUAGUGUCAGUGGUUAUCCAAUUCCAUAAUACUCAAGACUCAUUAUUAGUUAUCCCAACCAUAAAUUUAGCCAUUGAUCAUGGCAUAACUACUAGACAACUAAUCGCAUAGAAACUUCAACGAAAACACCAAACAUACAGGCUUCAGCAUUAUAUUGAAAACCAAAAGCCAUGUCUAUCAACAUCACAUCGAAAGCCAAAAGCAUCUCCCACCUACAUUAAUAAUCCCCUGUACAGUAUUGCAACAUGUGUUCACAGUACUAUCAGUGUAAUGGAAAUUAUUUCAAAGAAGGCAAGAACAGAACCCAUCAACAACCACUCUUGCUGCAACUAGUAAUCCGUGCCUCGGAGAAAAUUAGAGUAAACCCAAAACAGAUUUUUUUCCAUUUAACGAAAAUUAACUGAAAAAAGAAAAACAAAGGCAAAAAGGGAGAAACGGAAGGCAUACCCUUUUGCGCAUGCGGCGGAACUCGCUAGACUUAAACUCAUUGCGCGCCGAUUUCUGAAGCCGAAGCAUGAAGAGUUCGCCUUUAAGAUCAACCACCUCCUCAUUAAUUUGCUCGGUGGACAUAACCCUGAUUUCCUUCAUUUCUUCUUCUCUCUUCGCCAUCAUUACAACGGAGGGGAGCGAGUUUCCAGAAAAAGACCGUGUCAUUUUGGCAGGUACCGAAAUUGGGAGGGGACAUGUGUGGCGGAUUUGGAUGCCGGAGAAGCUAGAUCUGGGGAAUGUAGAUAAGGGUUUGGGAAGGACAAUUGCAGUGGAAAGAUUGAACA
rnacentral:misc_RNA from 1 species